rnacentral:lncRNA from 1 species
AUGGCUCCUUUGUUGGGUUUGUUUUGGCAAGAUUUGGAUUCAAAUGAUCAUUCCUCUUUGUAUGCUUUCAUGUAAUAACCUCAAUACACUUUGUGCACGAACAGGAGAUGGGUUGCAUCAUUAUUUAGGCCUAAUCCAUUUCUCAUGCAUCCAUGUAACUUGGUUUACAAUUUUGGCAAUAUUUCAAGUGUUGCAAAGAUCAAUUUCCUUGCCUAUUUAAACAAGCUCAUGGCCUCAGAAUUCACAUAAACACCUUGCCCAAACUUUGCCAAGAGAACUCAUACCCU